GAUGAACGCUGGCGGCGUGCUUAACACAUGCAAGUCGAACGAAGCACCUCUCCCGAAGAUUGACCCAGCUUGCUGUAGAUUGAUUCAUUUGAGGUGACUGAGUGGCGGACGGGUGAGUAACGCGUGGGUAACCUGCCUCAUAGAGGGGGACAACAGUUGGAAACGACUGCUAAUACCGCAUAGUAAGAAGAAUUCGCAUGUUUUCUUCUUGAAAGAUUUAUCGCUAUGAGAUGGACCCGCGUCUGAUUAGCUAGUUGGUAAGGUAACGGCUUACCAAGGCGACGAUCAGUAGCCGGCUGGAGAGAGUGAACGGCCACAUUGGGACUGAGACACGGCCCAAACUCCUACGGGAGGCAGCAGUGGGGAAUAUUGCACAAUGGGGGAAACCCUGAUGCAGCGACGCCGCGUGAGUGAAGAAGUAUUUCGGUAUGUAAAGCUCUAUCAGCAGGGAAGAUAAUGACGGUACCUGACUAAGAAGCCCCGGCUAACUACGUG
rnacentral:rRNA from 1 species